AUCUGGUUCAAGCAACCAAGAAAUCCUGCCACCACAGAGUCUGGGUGUAGGCCAAGUAAUGGAAAUAAGUAUGCAAUGCCUGUGCUGAGAUUCAAGAUGGAACAAGUUAUGAGACUUCAGGAAAUACUGUAGCAGGAACCACCUGGACAGGGAGGAUGAGACUCACAAGAAGCAGUGCAAGAGGGGUGGUGAUCUGACCUGAGCUAGUUUUGGUGCCCAGUAAUGCCACACAACACACAGAAAUCUCCUGCCUGAAGUGGCUGCCAUAACAGAUGAAAAACGAAGUCAUGGACUAAACUAACUCAAUGGACAUUUGUAUGACAAUUGUAUUUUAUGUUCCUUUCACAGGGGUGCUCCAUAAACUAUGGGAAUGAAAAAUGUGUAUUGGUAUGUAAAAGGAUGAGGUUGGAGGCAGUGGUCCUUAGGGAUCUGUUUUAUUGUGUGGAAGUGAGCUUGAUGUAAAUGGUGUGGAAAAAGGGGUGAAUAUUGCACUGGUUUUGGCUAAGACAGUUCAAUUUCUUCAUAUAGUAUUGCUUGCAUGGUGCUGUGUUUUGGAUCUGUGAUAAAAACUGUAGAUAGAACAGUAAUAUUUCAAGUAUUUCUGAGCAGUGCUGACACAGAGUCAAGGCCUUCUCUGCCUCUUGCACCACCUCACCAGUGAGAAGGUUAGGAGUGCACAAGCUGCUAGGGGACACAGCCAGGACAUCUGCCCCCA